AUACGGAGGAUGCAAGCGUUAUCCGGAUUUAUUGGGUUUAAAGGGUGCGUAGGCGGUUUGCUAAGCGGGAGGUGAAAUGCCGGCGCUCGACGUCGGAAGUGCCUCCCGAACUGGUGGACUUGAAUGACUCUGCCGUGGGAGGAAUGUGUAGGGUAGCGGUUAAAUGCUUAGAGAUUACACAGAACACCGAUUGCGAAGGCAUCUCACGAAGGGUUGAUUGACGCUGAGGCACGAAAGCGUGGGGAUCAAACAGGAUUAGAUACCCUGGUAGUCCACACAGUAAACGAUGGACACCCGCGGUUUGGCCUAUAUGGCUGAGCCGCCAAGCGAAAGCGUUAAGUGUCCCACCUGGGGAGUACGCCGGCAACGGUGAAACUCAAAGGAAUUGGCGGGG
rnacentral:rRNA from 1 species